rnacentral:lncRNA from 1 species
AAAAGGUGAAAGCUUUCAAUUUUAGACUGAACAUAACUCAAUAAAAAAACAAAACCCAGUUAAAUUGCUAAAAAAAAAUGAAUGACUUUUUUUGCUAACUAGAAAGUGACUGGCUAUACUCAGUCAUGUAAAGAGGAUCAUGAGUGGACCAAAAAAUAUGAGUCCAUAUUAGGGGUUACCUUAUAUUUGAAUAUGUUUUUUUUUCUUCCGUUUUUUUUUUUUGAAGCGGUACAUUUAAUGUCUUUUGAAGGAGGGUCCAGUUAAUUUUAUUAUCUUUUUUUGAAGGAAUUUUUUUAUCUUUUUAUCACUUAUAUAUUUAAUUUCAAUAUCGUUUAAUUAUCACAACCUCACAAAUAUUUUUAUUCACACUGUCAUUGAGUGACACCAAAUAUUUUUAUUCCCUUUCUUCAACCUUGCAAAUAUAUACACACAUUAGCGUUUAGAGUAAUACUUUAUGUUUGUCUGUCUGUUUUGUUACACUAAUGCGUAUAAUUUUUUUUAGUGUUGCAUAAUGCGUAUAAUUAUUUUUAUAAAAUUUUGAUUUUAAUUAAAAAUAUAAGUAUAGAUGCCUAAAAAAAUUAUAUUAUAUAUAUUUUGCACCUUUAUAUUGUAACAAACUAUGCAUAUCUUUUUCUUAUUAAAAAAAAACUAAACAUAUCUUUUUCAAUGACACUAACAAUGUAACAAAUAUAAUAUUAUAUAAUAUAAAUUCUUAUCUUUUUGAAUGACACCAAAAAUAUGGUAUUCUUAUAACAAAAUUUGUUAUAGAGUAUAAUUUGUUGGAACAAAAUGUGUUUAGCAAUAACACUUAAGAGUUUUGAUGAUAACAAAGUAUUAAAAAUUGUCAAUUGGAUAUGCUAAAAUUUGUUCAAGUGUACAGGACUAUAGACAAAAAUUUGACAUCUUAAAAAGGUCUUGGAAGAACAAAUAAAGAGCAAAUACAUCAACAAAAAGGGAAGCUUAAAGCGUCUGAAGAAAACUGCUCCUGAAGAUAAAGCGCUCCUGAACACAAAGUGCUCCUGAAGUGAUGACGUCAUCAGAAGCAAGUUUAUCAGAAGCUGAGAAUCACCAUAAGCUGUAGUUCAUCAGGAGAUGCAACUUAAAGCUUCAAAAGUUGUUUAAAGGAUUCAAACUCGUCUAAGGUUUGUAGAAGACUGAAAAAGUAUAGCAACGACUAUUUUGGAAGGAUUUGAAGGCUUUGUAUGCUUAUUCUUCAAAGAGUGUUGACAUAGUACGUUUGUACGAAGUGUACAACUACUAUCUCCACUACUCUGUUUUUGUCUCUGCUACAAGACAAGAAAAAUAACUCUGCAUGCAAUGAUGUUCCUUCUCAAUGGGAAUGUGUAACACCCUAUUUAAUUAUUUGAUUAUUUUAUUGAGUUUAGAGUCCAUUUUUAUGACUUAUGUGAUUUAUAUGAUUUUUGUGUGUUGUUGUUGUUUUAUUAAAGUGGCUUAUUUUAAUAUUUAAUAGAAUAAGAUUUGAAAAUAAAAUAAGAUUAAGUUGUGGGAGCUGUUUUGGAAUUUAGAAGAGUUUAGUUGAAUAAGUGGAAAUAAGAUAAAGAGGGUUGAGGAAAUAGGUCAGAAAAACAUUUCACGUGAAAACAAGCCUUUGGGGGAGAAAAAGGGAGAAGAGCCAAGUGAAGAACCGGAGAGAUCGUAGAGCUUCGUUCGUCAUAAUUAAGGUAAGAGUGGGACUAACCUUCAAUAAUUCUGAUUAUAUGAUUAUGAAAAUUGGAUUUAACAGGUGGUAGGUUGUAGUUCUGGAAAUUUGGGAAUUAGGUUUAGAAGUUGUAAUUGGUUGUUUUAAUUGUAGAAUUGAUUGUUGGAAUUAAGAUGUUAAUGAAGUUAGGGUUGUGAAAAGAAGUUAGAGUUUUGAAAAGAAGUUAGGGUUUUGAAUUGCAAUUUGAUUGUUGAAAGUGUAGGUAAUCCAAUGAAUUAACAUAUGAAUUGAUGUUCAGGUUGUAGAAUAACAAUAGGUGAUAUUUCUUAUCAAAUUUGGGAGUUUGUGUUUGAGUCCAGUGAAUUAAGAGUGAUUCUUAAGUGAAAAACGCAUUGUUAAACUGAUUUUUGAACUGCUGUGAAGCUCAAAAUCGGCCAUCGAUUUUCUGUCAGGCAAAUCCGGAAAAUAUUCGUAAUUUUCACCCUUCUCUGUUUUGAAUUUGCUUUCGGUGUAAACAUGAAAGUUUUAGAUAAUUUUGUUAGCUUUCCAAUGGCUUUGGUUUGACUUGAAAAUGAUUUUUAGUUUUUGAGAUAUGAUGAAAAUACUCCAAGGAGGUCUUAGUGAAAUCUUAUGAAAAUUCAGCAUAACCGUUUCCAAGUUAAUCCAAAACUUACGGGAUAAUUCCAAACCUCAAAACUAGAAGUAAUAUGAGUUCAAUUAAGGGGUUUAAGAGUAUUUAACCUAUGUUGUGAGUUGAUCUUGGGAUAGAAUGGAAGUUGUUAUUAGGUUAUAGACUUACAGAGAGCCUGAAUCAAAUGAUUAAUGAUUGUUAGUUAGUUUAAGAUAUUUAUAUUAUGAGGAAAAUGUAUGAUAUAGAAAAUAUCGUUGUUUAUAUCAUUCAAGUUGUUAUUAUUAAUAUCACUAUGUUGCAAGUUGCCUAUGUUGCUAUCUCUGCUGUUGUUGAUUAUUAAUAUCAUUAAGUUGACCAAGUUGUGGAGUAAGUCAUAGUUAUUUAUGCACAAUUGUUGUUGUCGUUGUCGUUGAUGUUGCUGAGUUGUAUGUUGAUAUACACAAAUUUUGAGUCCAUUGCAUGCUCAUAAAUUGUUGAGGGCUCAUGCCCUGUGAAUGCUUAAUCAUUCAAACUGUUGAGGGCUCAUGCCCUGUGAAUGCUAGUUCAUUCAAAUUGUUGAGGGCUUAUGCUCUGUGAAUGCUCGUUCAUUCAAACGCGUUAAAAUGGUACCACAUGCAUGUGCAUUGUCGCAUUUGUCGUUGUGUCGUUGCAUAGUCGUUGUUGUUGGUUGAGUUACUGUCGUCGUUGUUGGUUGAGUUGUUUUCGUUGUUGUUGGUUGAGUUUGUAGGUAUUGUUAAUGUUGAUGAAGUAUGAAACAAGACUGUUGAAUUAUCCGUUGUUAAUUAGGUUGUUAAAUACAGUUGAUGAUUUAUAUACCUAUUAUUAUUGAUUGUGAAUCUCACCCCUUCUGCUUGGAAAUGUUACCCUUCGUAUGGGUAACUUGCAGGUGAUCGAGAAUAGUUGCUCUCGUGAGUGGACCUUCUCUCACGUGUGUCUUAGGUGCUCUGAUACGUAACGGGAUGAGAAUUUGUUAUUGCUUUCUGUUCCUUACGUAAUGUUUUAUGAAGUUUUAAGGACAUGUUGUUUGUUGGAAUAAUUUUAUGAGAUUUAUGUUGAGGCCUUGGUGCCAAAGAUGUUUAAAUAUUGAAAUAAUUUCUGCUGCAAAGUAAUAAUUGAUAUGUUGUUGAAUUUGAAGGAUAAAUAGUUAUUUAUUCAGUUUAUGAUUUUAUGAAAAGUAAUGUGACAUUCCGUUUACGUUGAAAAUACUCUGAUUUAUAUGUGAUUAUAUGUAAAAAAUUUAAGUUGGGAAAACGGGGUGUUACAUAAUGCAUCUGAAAUUGAUCAUUCUUAGGACAAUAACCAUAUCAGGCAAAUGAUCAUUGGUGAUUGAUCAAAAGCUUCAAACGACUCUAUUUUGAAUAUGCUGGAAAUUCAACGUCUCUUUCAAACUUCUAUAUAAAGGAGUGAAGACUCAGAGUUUUAAUAGAACAAUACCAAGAAUUAACUGAGCCAAAACUCUGCUGAAAUUGUUCUGCAUUCAAAGUUCACUUAGAAUUUCUUAUCAAAGCUUAUAUCUUAGAAAUUCUAGAGUCUUUAGAGUCUGUAUCUGAUUUGUAUUGUGAACACCACUGAUUGUAUAUCAAGUGUUCAACCUCAAACAUUUUUCUUGUAAUUCUGUUUGAAUUAAGAAGUCUCUUGCAGUUGUGCUUGAGCAAUAGAAGUCUCUUGAUUGUGUUCAGGAGCAUAGGAAGUCUCUUGCAGUUGUGCUUGAGCAUUUGAAGUUUCUUACUAAGUUUAGUAGUGAGCAAUUGUAAUCAGAUAUUACAUAGUGAACUCUCCUUGGAAGUGCAAGGGGGACAGGACUGACUUCCGGUUUGUGGAAGGAACCUGUAUAAAUUGUUUGUGUCUUUCUUCUCUCUCUCUGUUUUAUCCGCUGCAAUUAGUUCUGAACAUCUCUUCAGAAGUAGAACUACAUCUGCUUCUGAUCUGUGUUUUCAGUUAGGAGAAAAAGAAGAAAAGGCCAACACAAUUCAACCCCCCUUCUUGUGUUUUGUUCUCACCUUCAUAAUUGGAAUAGAAAAAACCAACUAUUCUCCCUAAAAGAAACCAACUAUUCUCUAUAUACACACACACACAAAAUAAAUUAUACACAUUAUGCAACACUAAAAAAAAUUAUACGCAAUAGCGUAACAAAAGAACAGACAGACGAACAUAAAGUAUUACUGUAAACGCUAAUGUGUGUGUGUAUAUUUGCGAGGUUGAAGAAAGGGAAUAAAAAUAUUUGGUGUCAUUCAAUGACAGCGUGAUUAAAAAUAUUUGCGAGGUUAUGAUAAUUAAAUGAUAUUGAAAUUAAAUAUAUAAGUGGUAAAAAGAUAAUAAAAUUCCUUAAAAAAAUAAUAAAAUUAAAUGGACCCUCCUUCAAAAAAUAAAUUAAAUGGACUUGUUCAAAAAAAAUGGAAGGAAAAAACAUAUUGAAAUAUAAUAUUAAAAAAUAAAAUAAAAAGGUUCCCAACAUGACUUGAAGAGAGGUGCUUGUGAAAUAAAUUAUCGAGAAGUAGUUUUUUGAAGUAGCAUUCAACAACUUUUGAUAAAAGCUCAUUCCAUUCAAUUUUAUGCAUUCUAAAAAAGUACUUCUUUUAGAAGGUAUUUUAUUGAUAUUGUGUUUGACCUAACUUCUCCUUAAAAAUGUAGAGAAGCUGAAAAAAUGUCGGGUCAAACGGUACCUAAGUAAUCUUUUAGCACCGUAUCAUUCAAUUAGUUUUUUCUAUAAUUUUUUUCCAUAAACUAUUGACUUUUUUUUUGCAGAGCACACUCUAAAUAUAAAAUAUGGAACUCAAGAUUAAGAUCAUUAGAAUGUGAAGAAUGCCGAAUUUAAAGAAAUCGCAUAUAUUUAAUGAUGUGAUUUUUAUGGAUGAUAUAGUAUGCAUCAAAUAUUUUUCUUUGUGAACUUUUACUAACAUGAUUUCACAUUAACUUAAUUAUUUUUCUAUGCUAAUGUUUAUUUAAUUUUGUUGUUGAUGAUAUUCUAGCGGAUGAAAAAUCAAUGAACUGUGUGAAGCGGCAAUGUUACAAAUAUCAAUCUAUGUUAUUAUAAAAGAAAAAAAAUAUCAAUCUACGUUGAUUGAUGUAAUAUGUUAUGAGAUAAGAAAUAUCUUAAUUUCUAAUAACAACCAUAAAUUUAAACCAACUUCCUCUGAAUAUAGAAUAUUUUAUAAAAUUAUAAACAUCGAGAAGUCGUAUAAAAUUUUUUAAGGAGUUAAAUUAUAUGUAUUUUGUCUAUUUAUUCGUUAUACUUUUUUUUGGGUAACCAUGAUAUAGGUUCACAAAUUCCACCAUCGCUAAAGAUGACUAAUCUCCAUCAGGAAUCGGUAGGACAUAAAUGGUGGGUUCUUUCCAUUCAAUUGAUUUUUUUUUCUCAUACUCUUGAGCCACGAAACAAACUCAUGACCACAUGUUUAAAGAGACUCAUAAACUCUUGCCAUUUGGACUAAUUCAUUAUUGAUUUUUGGGUUAAUAAGUCUUUACCCCCUGUAAUAGAGGUCAUUUUCGGUUUUCUCCCCUGUAACUUUUUUUUUUUAUUUACCCCCAUGUGAAAUUUUUUGUUUUGAUUUACCCUCCUAAUAGGCCAAACAAAAACGAAAAAGUUCUUCAAAAAAAAAAUUAAAAUUGGUUUUUGUUUGGCCUAUUAGGGGGUAAAUCAAAACAAAAACAUUUUACAGGGGGUAAAUAAAAAAAAAUUACAGGGGGGAAAACCAUAAAUGACAUGUAUUACAGGGGGUAAAGACCUAUUAACCCUUGAUUUUUUUACACUUUUUAUUCUUGGAUAUGACAUUCAUGCCACCAUUUAUAUUUAUUUUUAAGAUAUAAUUGUUAAUUUAGAUUAAUUCAAUUAAAUAUACUUACAUAAUCUAUGAUAUUAUCAUCAUUUGUGCCCACAAACUUAUUUAAUAUCUAAUCCGGGCAACACCGAGCUCUAAACUAGUCACAUAUUACAAAUGUGUUAUAUGUCGAGUCUAGUUCCCUUUUUAAUAGGAAACGUGACUAUAAGUAGGGGUGUGCAAAGUUAUUGGUUAACUGAAACCAAAUCACCACCCAACCCAUAUUCAUAUUUCAAAAGUCCAAUCUAAUUAGUUAAAGACUAUUACUUUUUCCAUCCUUUUUCAUUCUCGCGCGUCCUGCACGCUUAAUCAAAAUACCAUCUAUCCGGAUUUACACAAUCCGAACACAUUUUAGAUUGUGAAAUCUGAAACUAAUCAAAACAUGUGCUGGGCUAUGUCUCCAUUGGAUCAUGACCAAUGGAAGAGUGUAAGAACUCCUGAAGUAUAUAAUCCAUACAAAAUAUACAUGUCCAGAUUAUACAAUCCAAAAGCCCUACUUUUUUUAUAAAAAAAAAAAAAAGCGGAAAAAGUAACGGGAUAUUCAUAUAAGGUUCACCCAGCACCUAGCUGCAGUUCACCACCUUUCUCUCCAAACACUCUAUAUACCUCUAGAAACACGCCAUUUUGGGCAAAAAUGUGAUUUAAAGCAGCAAUCUGGUCAUCAAGAUGCGUUAACAUCAUAAUUUCUAGGCGCUUUCCUUUUGAUCACGUCAACAAAUAUGUACUGGAGCUAUUCGGAUUGUGUAGUAUGAACAACACCAGUACAAAAAAUUUGUGCAUCUUAUGACCCUGCUAUGUCACUGUUUCAGUAAUGGAUGUUCAUGUUGAUGCCUCCAUUGACAAACCACCUGAUAUUGAACCUCAUACUGUGUUGCCGGUUGUUCCACUUUAAGUUCUAGAUGAUCCCAAAAAUGCCAAAGCCAAGGAUCCUCCCACCACCGCCACCACCACCAACAUGGAAACUUGAUAUUUCCUUAAGUGAUGCAAAAGUAGAUGAUACUCCUCCUCCUAUUGUUUGAAUUGAUCAUGGAGAAGAUUUUACCACCAAGCAAAAGUUUGUUACGCGGAAUGAUUUAUUGGAGUGGGUUCGAGAGAAAACAAGGAAGCUUGGAUUUACAACCGUCAUUGGUAAAUCCGAUAAAGGUGACAAUGGAAGAAGUGUUUUUGUUACCGUGAUAUGUGAAAGAGGAGUAUUGUUUAUUUUGAAAAGUACUACAAUACCCCUACAUCAUAUAACAUUUCCAACCAAAUUAAUUUAAUUCUUUUAUUUAAAUUCAUUUAAUUAAUUAACUAAUUAUUUCAAUUACUUAUUUUAAUUCAACAUAAUUGAUAAAAAAAAUUAAAAAUCAGCAGGAACAUACAUUUGGCACAUCGCAAAAUACCGUAUUAUAAAAAGUACAACAACAAAAAAAUUAUAGAUACCAAAAAUAUAGCUUACCCUUGAUGCAAAAAAAAUAAUAGCUUCUCCUAAAUUCACUUUCAAAUUAUAUAAAGUUGACGGUGGGAAAAAAAAAAUAAAAAUAACUAACAUCAUAAAAGACACAAAAUUAACUAAAUUGGACUAGGGGCAUAAAAAGAAUACACAAAAAUAUCACUAAUCUCCUUCACUUUCUUCUCGACUUUGGAGAGAAAGGAUUUUGUGGGGUCCACAUAUUUUUAGUCUCUCUUUUCUAUUUCUCUUUACUUCCAAACAGGAGAACUUCAAUUUCUCUCUUCCUUAACUCUCUCUUCUCUAUUUCUACUCUACCAAACACAGUGUAAAAGUUCAAAUAGUUAAAUACAUUUUUUGAAAUUAAAAAAAAAAAACAGAAAAACUUAACAAGCGAAAAAAAAUGUUAUUUUAUAAAAGUUUUUCAUUUAAUUUUUAUGAGUAUCAGUCUAUGUGACAUAGAUAUAAUUAGUGUUUUUUCUAUGAUGCGGUUUGGUUUGAUUUGAUUGGUAAAAUAAAAACUACAAACCAAACCAUGCGAUUGAAUAAAAAAAAAAAGAUCUGAAUACAUCAAAAUCAAAUGCAAUUUCGGUUUGGAUUGUUUUGGUUUGCAAUUUUUCUAUUGGGUUUAUUCGGUUUUGAACACCCCUAAUUAUACUAAAUAAGAGAUCCUAAACGCCUCUUUAACAUACAUGGUAUUUUUUUUGUUUGCAAAACGGGCAUCCUUCAUGCACAAUUGUAGAAAUUAAUGUCUCGAGUCUUGUAAGACUCAAACAUAUGACAAUUUUACCUAAAUUUUUUAACGUUGUUGCAUGUUUAAUGCUAAAUUCAAACUCAAUACAUUGGAUAAGAUAAAAUUGAACCGUAUCAUCUUAUAUAACGAUCUUAAAAAUACUCUAUAUUUAGUUAUGGGUAUUCAAAUGAAUUUCAUCGUAGUAUUGUUUUCUAUAAAUUUGCCUAUUUUUAACAAACACGCAUCAAAUGGCAUUUCAUUUGCAGUUAUUUCAGCAUUGAUAAACUUUUGCUAAUUUCUUUAGUACUGUAUAACAACUCAAAUCAAAUACACAUAUAUUAAAAUCUCAAAUUUUCCAAGAGUAAGACUUAAAUAACGACUAAACAUAUCAUUUUUGUUUUCUAGUACUAUGAUUUAGAAUAAGAUUGAGAUUUUAGAGUGAGAAUAUAUCGUAUAGCGUAUUAGUCCUGUCUUAGGAUAAAAAAAGGGAUCGACAAUUUUUUUUAUUCAAACCUUGACAAAAAAAAAUUAUUUAAACUUAAGAGCCCAACAAUUUGUUAACUUGGAAUAUGAGUCUUAAAAAACAAAAUUGUUUUGACUAAUAAAUAAAUUCUUUAAUUGUAUACGUUGUUCCACCGUAUUUAUUUUAAGGUCUUCUUUUAAGCAUCCCAAAUUUAGUAAUUAUUCUUUAAAAAGGUCAACUAUUACAAUUUUUAAUACAUUCAAUACACAACUUUUUAUUAAAACUUACCGAUUAAAGUACUUAAAGAGUGUCCCGGAAACACUCGUUAAUAUUUCCCUUUAUUUUAUUUAUCUGUCCCUUUAAUUAUGGUCUAUUUAUGAAAGAACUAGACACAAUUGAAACAUAAGUGAAACUUAUUAAUAAGACACACUUUAUUUUUUGAUGAAGUCAAACUACCCAUCAAAAUUAAUAUCGGAAAUAAUUAAACCUAAAAAUUUAAGAGAAAUUUUAAGAUUAUAAAGCACAUCAAUUAGAUCAAUAAGAUUCGGUGAUGUUUGGGGUUCAAACCUCAAACCUAACAUAUAUAAUAUGUAUUAUCCUUAUCAACUGAGUCAACCACUAAAAUGAAUCAUAAGUUUAUAUGUGUAAAUAGAUAAAUGAGAUAGAUGAAACAAAUUCAUCCCGGAUGACACGCUAAACAUGGUUGGGAGCUUCUCGAAUCGAUAUAGAUAGGAUAUAUCAUGUGUCGUCGAUCCUGAAGGAAUUUAAAAGACCAAUUCAAUUAAUAUAAUAAAUAGAAAGACCAAUUCAAUACAAAUGGUCAAUGGCGUCCAAGAGUUUUUGUAUUAAUUUGAAACUAUACAAAGUUCGUGUUAUAUAUGGCAGAUGAUUAAUUGGACAAUUAACUAACUCAAUCUUGUUCUCCGCACAUUACGCCUCAAUUUAACAACGUAUCUUUCAACCUUGGUGGCUAUCACCUAUAUACGUUUCACUACAUCAAUUCAGAAGAGGUGUGAACUUCAAAGGCAGCAUCAAUAAAAAGUGUGAGAUGUUUACACAUUUAAAUCAAAGUCGUAAAUCGAUACAAAAAAAAAAAAAACUAUAUAAAUCAAAUUUAUUGAAUAUGUUUAGAAGUUUUUUGUGAAAACCAUGUAACAUUAUAUCAAGUUCCCGCGAGUAUAUAUGAAAAAUGUAUUAUGAUAUGCGUUCGAACCCUAAAAAAAAAAAUAGUUCCCGCGAGUAUAUGUAGGGAUAAUGUAUUAUGAUAUGCGAUCAAACCCUAAAUACUCUAUUUAUUCAUCUUAAAAAGUGAAUUCAACCUACUAAACAAGUUGACAAAAAAAAAAGAUCAGAUAUAUAGGUAUUAAAUCGAAUUGAAUCAAACGGCUGAGUAAAAAAAAUUAAAAUAAAACUCAUGACAUAUAUAUUAAUGUAAAAAAGAUCAUGUUAUGAUAUCAUGUUUUUUAAGGAUAUUUUAACAUUUAUGUUAUAUGUUAAGCGUUGUAAAAGAUAGUUGAAGUCCUUUUUUAUAUAAAAAAUAUGUUAUGUGUUUUAAAAGAGAAUUUUUUUGACAAAAAAAAGAGCUGAAGUCUCCGUUUUAUAAAUGAGUUAUGUUUUAUAAAAGAAAGAAAGGAUUAAGUAACAAAAAAAAAAUGAUUAUUUUAAUAAUUAUGAAUUAUGCUUUUUUUUUUAUGCAAAAGAAAAUAAAAGAAUAAAUGAAAAUGGUUUUGGCAGGAGUUGAAUCUAGCACAUAAGACUUGGCAAAAAGGCUCUUGACCACUAGAGCAUGUUACACAAUCAUUAAAAUGUUACAAAACAUAAUAUAUAUAUAUAUAUAUAUAUAUAUAUAUAUGAAACAAAAUUGGGGGUGUGCCAUGGCCCAUCUUGGCCCAUGAGGGGCUCCACCUCUGCGACAAACACACCUAAAUAAAAGUACUAAUUAAAAUAUACUUGUCGCGUCAUUUUUUGGAGGUCAAGACUAUUUGAUUAGCUUUUGACUCACUAAUUUAUUUCACGACUGAACAUUUAAUUUUUUAAGAAAAAGGGGAAAAAGUUCAAAACACCUCAUAUUGAGAGAUUUAGGGUUCGGGGGUUGGUUAUAUUUAGGGAAGGUAUUAGCACCCUAAAUAUUCGUAGUACUCUACGAGAACCUCUUGAUUUUAUUUAAUUAAUGUGCUAUAAACUUGCUUGCUUUUCAAAAAAGAAGUUAAUGUGAUGAUUAAAAGAAGAAAGAAAGUGAGACCUAAUUUAUCUACAUUUUUUAUGAUUUGGAAGGACAUUGUCCUCUGCCUACGUACCCGUGAGGGAUCAAAACCUCAUAGUUCGGGGUAGAAAUUGACGUUUGAUUUGUUGAGUGUUUUUUAUUAGUUUUGAAAAAGGUUUUAAAAUGAAAAGCCAAGUGGCAAAUGAGUAUUUGUUUGUGUUUUUUAAUAUUGAAAAAAGAGACUUAAAGUAAAGUUAAAUUGAUUAAAGUUUGAUUAAGAAAAGAAAAUAAAAAUGCGGUCACUUGAUUUGGAUCAAGGUUUAUUAUGAAAAUAUUUUUGUGAUUUUGAUUAUUUGCAUGUUUUUUGUUGUUUUUUUGGAAUAUUAAAUAAAAAUUAAACUAACGGAGAAAUAAAAAUAAAAGCGCGUGGAUUUUUGUAGUGACGUUGGAUCACCACAAAAUCCCUAAUCUAAUUUUUUUGCAUUUUUGGAUAUAUAUAUAUAAGGCGGUAAAGAAAUAAAAGGACACACACACUUUUCUCAUUUAUAUUUACAUUGGACCUAAAUACAUUCUAAUUGCUGAAAAAUAAAUAACAAUAAUUAAAAUGCUAAAUAAAAUAAAAUGCAAAAAUGCUAAAAAGAAAUAAAAUGCAAGAAAAUAAAAGAAAUGGACAAUCGAAUGGACAAAAAUUACCGAAGGGACUUUUCCGAAGGGACAGAAAAAAAGAGGGAGAAGAAAAGAAUAGCUCGUUAACACAAGCUAAAGAGGGAGAAGAGAGAAAAGUUCUUUGACAACUCAAGAGAACUUUUGGUGUCUGAAAUUGUGUGGAAUGAGGGCUCUAUUUAUAGGUGAGGAGGUUGAUGAAAAAUGGAAAAUUGGUUUAAUGGAAAUAAUGGACAAUUAUGGUGAAUUUUGAAAAAAGAAUGUUAAAGUUGACACUUGACUUGAAAUUUUUUUUAGACCUUGUACAUUUUAUUUUGGACCUAUUGACACUUUGUUUUUUUUUUUGGACACUAAUUAAUUAAAAAGAAAUAAAAUAAAAAUAAAAUAACUAAUAAGAAAUAAAAUAAAAAACAAAUUAAACUAAAUUAUGUAAAGAAAAAUAAAAUUAAAAGAUGGAAAAUAAAAAUUAUUAAAUAUAAAAAAAAGUAACUAAUCUUAAAAUUAAAAUUAAUAAAAGAUGGAAAGAAAAUAAAAAGAGAAAAGAGGGUCCGACUCGGAAUAAAAAAUGAGGUAUUUUAAAAUACCUCCUUGCCGAAUUUUUUCACUGAAAAAUCAGAGAUCGAUCAGAGUCAAGUGACAUGUGUCAGUGAAGCCUUAGGUUAAAAAUUGGGAUAUGACAAUACUCAUAUUUCAAUUUUAACAGGAUCCUCUCAAAUAGACGGUGAGAUUGGACUCCUAAUUUAAUUUUUUUCAUCAUUUACUUAAAAUUAAGUUGUGUUUAAAUUUAUUUUGGUCUUUUAUUCUUGUAAUGUUAUACAAAUUUAUUUAUUUAUGUUUUCUAAUGUUAUACAAAUUUAUUUAUUAUUUUUUUAAAUGAGAGUUGAGGUGACCGUUAACAAUAUUAUGUGGUUUUGUCAUGUCAAAACAAUGCCAUUUUAUUCUAAAAUUAAUAAUUUGAGUUUUUUUUAAAGAAUAAUCUGAGUUGAUGGUUUAUCUUCUUUCUCAUAACAUCUUAAUGUAAACGAAAAACUUAGUUUUUAAUAAGAUGAGCUUUUAAAAUUCACAUGUCAUAAUUCAACCAGUAAAAUCGUCAAAAUUGAUAAAUAGACGUCGUGAUUGAGGUUCAAAUAUUAAACUCUUCAUUUAUAUAUAUAAAAUUCAAUGGUUAUUUAACAUUUUACCUAUCUUAAAAAACCAGUCUUUUGUAGGCCUAUGGGCAAUAAAUUAUACACGUUUCAUCCCUAGUUAAGACGAAUUCAAGCCAGCUCAUCAUCAACCCACAAGGCAGGGUUCAUAUGAACUUCAAAAAUCAAAAGUAUAGUUGACUGAUGGUGAGAAUUAAAUUGUCAGCUCUAUAUAAACAAAAUAAUAAUAAUUAAACUGUUAGCAAGGUUCAUGCCUUAAGAGUUUGAUCAUCAAUAUUUAUUUUAUUGAUUAAAGGAGAAAAUUCUCAAUACGUUUUUUUAUAUAAAAAAAUACUUUAUACUUGAAACAUAGCGUAUUAGAUAUUCAUAUUCUAGAAGGAAAACACUAUUUACAGCGUAAAGUUGUCUCACGAUAACACCACGAUCUGCACUGUAUUCAAGCCUAAUUCACGCACUCAUGUAUUUUGCCAACCACUCAUGCAUUGUGCCAAAACGCAGAUCUUAGGUGCUAGUGCUUUCGUGGGUUAUUCGUGAUUUGGCCUCACUACUAGAAUAGUGUUAAUUAUCUAUAAAUAAUAUAUGUGAUUAUUCGAGACUGAGAGAAUAUUAUCAAAAAUUUAAAAGUAGUUAUGAUUUAAGGUAAACUAUUUUAAUGAUUGAACGAUCUAUAAUGAUUCACGAUGUAAUUUUUUUUUUACAAUGAUAUUACAUAUGAAUUAAAUCCUAUUAUAAAACCGUCCCAUGAAUAUAUUCACAAACUUCAUAUAAUUUAGCCAAAUCUAACCUUUAAAAAUAAAAAAUCUAUCCUCUUUGAUGAAUAAAAAACCAAUCAAUUACCAUUGAUAUCUUAAGGGAUUCAUUAAUUAGACCCUUACACGCUUAGCCAAAUUUAAUUUGAUACUUCUAAGACUAAAGAGAUUGAAUGUUGAAAUUUCAUACUUCUUAUUACUUUUCUUCCCUACGAGUGAAUGCAAACAAUUUAAUCACCAACGUACAUAACACGGUUCUCAUAGUUUCCUUACCCAACUUUGUAUUUACAUACCCUCCAACACCUAUAUAAUGCUAUGAACCCAUCAACAUUUUCAACACAACCAAACCAACAACCUUAAAAAAACAAUCAAACAUGGCAUCCUUCAAACAAGUUUCAAUCCUGUUAUUCCCUCUUUUCCUCAUUUCCCUAUUCAAAUCCUCUCAUGCUGCAGG